ensembl:snRNA U2 U2 spliceosomal RNA
AUUGCUUCUCAGCCUUUUGGCUAAGAUCAAGUGUAGUAACAUUAUCAAUAGAUGCUUGAGAAACAAAGCAUGGCAACAUGAUUCUGAGAAUUUUGUGCUUUUUUCAUUCCUGUGUCAUUCAUAGAAUCAUCCCCUC